GACGAACGCUGGCGGCGUGCUUAACACAUGCAAGUCGAACGGUGAAGCGCCUUCCUUUUUGGUGGGUGUGGAUGAGUGGCGAACGGGUGAGUAACACGUGAGUAACCUGCCCCCUUCUUCUGGAUAACCGCAUGAAAGUGUGGCUAAUACGGGAUAUUCUGGGUCUGUCGCAUGAUGGGUCUGGGAAAGAUAUUGUUUCGGUGGGGGAUGGGCUCGCGGCCUAUCAGCUUGUUGGUGGGGUGAUGGCCUACCAAGGCGGUGACGGGUAGCCGGCCUGAGAGGGUGGACGGUCACACUGGGACUGAGACACGGCCCAGACUCCUACGGGCGGCAGCAGUGGGGAAUAUUGCACAAUGGGCGCAAGCCUGAUGCAGCGACGCCGCGUGAGGGAUGGAGGCCUUCGGGUUGUGAACCUCUUUCGCCAGUGAAGCAGGCCUGCCUCGUUUGUGGGUGGGUUGACGGUAGCUGGAUAAGAAGCGCCGGCUAACUACGUG
rnacentral:rRNA from 1 species